UGGGUGAUCAUGCUCAGGGGAGAUCCACAACAUGGGUUCAAAGGCAGAUCCUGCUAGACCAACCUGAUGGCCUUUUAUGACCAGGUAACUUAAUCCCUGGAUGAUGUUGUUGUGGACG